AACUGUUUCAUAAAGAAAAAUUAGAACUUUAUUUUUUAGUUAAAAAGCUAAAAUUAAAUUAGAGGACGAGAAGACCCUAUAAAGUUUAAUAAUUUUUUUAAUAAUAAUUUUUUUAAUAUAAUUUAAAUUUUUGUUUAUAAAAUUAUUUUAUUGGGGAGAUAAUAAAAUUUAAUAAACUUUUAUUUUAUAAAACAUAAAUUAAUGAAUAAAUGAUCCUUUAUUAAAGAUUAAAAAAUUAAAUUACUUUAGGGAUAACAGCGUAAUUUUUUUUUUAAGUUCUUAUUUAUAAAAAAGUUUGC
rnacentral:rRNA from 1 species